rnacentral:rRNA from 1 species
GUGGGGAAUAUUGGACAAUGGGCGAAAGCCUGAUCCAGCCAUGCCGCGUGAGUGAUGAAGGCCCUAGGGUUGUAAAGCUCUUUCACCGGAGAAGAUAAUGACGGUAUCCGGAGAAGAAGCCCCGGCUAACUUCGUGCCAGCAGCCGCGGUAAUACGAAGGGGGCUAGCGUUGUUCGGAAUUACUGGGCGUAAAGCGCACGUAGGCGGACAUUUAAGUCAGGGGUGAAAUCCCGGGGCUCAACCCCGGAACUGCCUUUGAUACUGGGUGUCUGGAGUAUGGAAGAGGUAAGUGGAAUUCCGAGUGUAGAGGUGAAAUUCGUAGAUAUUCGGAGGAACACCAGUGGCGAAGGCGGCUUACUGGUCCAUUACUGACGCUGAGGUGCGAAAGCGUGGGGAGCAAACAGGAUUAGAAACCCUGGUAGUCC